AGGCAUUGCAGUACAUAAGAAAACUUUCUGCGUGGGAGAUGGCCAGGGAGCAAGGAUGUUCUUGGGAACAGAAUGGUGAAGCUUAUGCAUGGCAUUCCUUAAAUCAGCUGUAGGACUGUUUAAUCUUAGUUAUACUCAUCUUGACAUAAUGAAUUUUCUUUACCUACACAAGUCUGAAAUGUCUUUCUCCCAGAAAUGCUGAUGAAGAAAUGAACAUCUUUAUUCCCCUGCAGAAGAAUCCACUGAAUGCAUCCUAAAACCAAACUAAGCAGUUAGUUUACUCUUUGUUUUUUUCAGAUCCAGGUGCUCACAGGAAAUAUUUGGUGGGUGGCUCUUGAGAAGGGAAUGGAUAGAAA